rnacentral:rRNA from 2 species
UUAAGCGACUAAGCGUACACGGUGGAUGCCCUGGCAGUCAGAGGCGAUGAAGGACGUGCUAAUCUGCGAAAAGCGUCGGUAAGGUGAUAUGAACCGUUAUAACCGGCGAUGUCCGAAUGGGGAAACCCAGUGCAAUUCGUUGCACUAUCGUUAACUGAAUACAUAGGUUAACGAGGCGAACCGGGGGAACUGAAACAUCUAAGUACCCCGAGGAAAAGAAAUCAACCGAGAUUCCCCCAGUAGCGGCGAGCGAACGGGGAGCAGCCCAGAGUCUGAAUCAGCUUGUGUGUUAGUGGAACGGUCUGGAAAGUCCGACGGUACAGGGUGAUAGUCCCGUACACCAAAAUGCACAGGCUGUGAACUCGAAGAGUAGGGCGGGACACGUGGUAUCCUGUCUGAAUAUGGGGGGACCAUCCUCCAAGGCUAAAUACUCCUGACUGACCGAUAGUGAACCAGUACCGUGAGGGAAAGGCGAAAAGAACCCCGGCGAGGGGAGUGAAAAAGAACCUGAAACCGUGUACGUACAAGCAGUGGGAGCACCUUCGGGUGUGACUGCGUACCUUUUGUAUAAUGGGUCAGCGACUUAUAUUCUGUAGCAAGGUUAACCGUAUAGGGGAGCCGCAGGGAAACCGAGUCUUAACUGGGCGUUAAGUUGCAGGGUAUAGACCCGAAACCCGGUGAUCUAGCCAUGGGCAGGUUGAAGGUUGGGUAACACUAACUGGAGGACCGAACCGACUAAUGUUGAAAAAUUAGCGGAUGACUUGUGGCUGGGGGUGAAAGGCCAAUCAAACCGGGAGAUAGCUGGUUCUCCCCGAAAGCUAUUUAGGUAGCGCCUCGUGAAUUCAUCUUCGGGGGUAGAGCACUGUUUCGGCUAGGGGGUCAUCCCGACUUACCAACCCGAUGCAAACUACGAAUACCGAAGAAUGUUAUCACGGGAGACACACGGCGGGUGCUAACGUCCGUCGUGAAGAGGGAAACAACCCAGACCGCCAGCUAAGGUCCCAAAGUCAUGGUUAAGUGGGAAACGAUGUGGGAAGGCACAGACAGCCAGGAUGUUGGCUUAGAAGCAGCCAUCAUUUAAAGAAAGCGUAAUAGCUCACUGGUCGAGUCGGCCUGCGCGGAAGAUGUAACGGGGCUAAACCAUGCACCGAAGCUGCGGCAGCGACACUAUGUGUUGUUGGGUAGGGGAGCGUUCUGUAAGCCUGCGAAGGUGACCUGUGAGGGUUGCUGGAGGUAUCAGAAGUGCGAAUGCUGACAUAAGUAACGAUAAAGCGGGUGAAAAGCCCGCUCGCCGGAAGACCAAGGGUUCCUGUCCAACGUUAAUCGGGGCAGGGUGAGUCGACCCCUAAGGCGAGGCCGAAAGGCGUAGUCGAUGGGAAACAGGUUAAUAUUCCUGUACUUGGUGUUACUGCGAAGGGGGGACGGAGAAGGCUAUGUUAGCCGGGCGACGGUUGUCCCGGUUUAAGCAUGUAGGCUGGUUAUCCAGGCAAAUCCGGAUAAUCAAGGCUGAGGUGUGAUGACGAGGCACUACGGUGCUGAAGUAACAAAUGCCCUGCUUCCAGGAAAAGCCUCUAAGCAUCAGGUAACAUUAAAUCGUACCCCAAACCGACACAGGUGGUCAGGUAGAGAAUACCAAGGCGCUUGAGAGAACUCGGGUGAAGGAACUAGGCAAAAUGGUGCCGUAACUUCGGGAGAAGGCACGCUGGUGUGUAGGUGAAGUCCCUGCGGAUGGAGCUGAGACCAGUCGAAGAUACCAGCUGGCUGCAACUGUUUAUUAAAAACACAGCACUGUGCAAACACGAAAGUGGACGUAUACGGUGUGACGCCUGCCCGGUGCCGGAAGGUUAAUUGAUGGGGUUAUCCGUAAGGAGAAGCUCUUGAUCGAAGCCCCGGUAAACGGCGGCCGUAACUAUAACGGUCCUAAGGUAGCGAAAUUCCUUGUCGGGUAAGUUCCGACCUGCACGAAUGGCGUAAUGAUGGCCAGGCUGUCUCCACCCGAGACUCAGUGAAAUUGAACUCGCUGUGAAGAUGCAGUGUACCCGCGGCAAGACGGAAAGACCCCGUGAACCUUUACUAUAGCUUGACACUGAACAUUGAGCCUUGAUGUGUAGGAUAGGUGGGAGGCUUUGAAGCGUGGACGCCAGUCUGCGUGGAGCCAACCUUGAAAUACCACCCUUUAAUGUUUGAUGUUCUAACGUUGGCCCCUUAUCGGGGUUGCGGACAGUGUCUGGUGGGUAGUUUGACUGGGGCGGUCUCCUCCCAAAGCGUAACGGAGGAGCACGAAGGUUAGCUAAUCCUGGUCGGACAUCAGGAGGUUAGUGCAAUGGCAUAAGCUAGCUUGACUGCGAGCGUGACGGCGCGAGCAGGUGCGAAAGCAGGUCAUAGUGAUCCGGUGGUUCUGAAUGGAAGGGCCAUCGCUCAACGGAUAAAAGGUACUCCGGGGAUAACAGGCUGAUACCGCCCAAGAGUUCAUAUCGACGGCGGUGUUUGGCACCUCGAUGUCGGCUCAUCACAUCCUGGGGCUGAAGUAGGUCCCAAGGGUAUGGCUGUUCGCCAUUUAAAGUGGUACGCGAGCUGGGUUUAGAACGUCGUGAGACAGUUCGGUCCCUAUCUGCCGUGGGCGCUGGAGAAUUGAGGGGGGCUGCUCCUAGUACGAGAGGACCGGAGUGGACGCAUCACUGGUGUUCGGGUUGUCAUGCCAAUGGCACUGCCCGGUAGCUAAAUGCGGAAGAGAUAAGUGCUGAAAGCAUCUAAGCACGAAACUUGCCCCGAGAUGAGUUCUCCCUGAGACUUUAAGUCUCCUGAAGGAACGUUGAAGACGAUGACGUUGAUAGGCCGGGUGUGUAAGCGCAGCGAUGCGUUGAGCUAACCGGUACUAAUGAACCGUGAGGCUUAACCUU